GCUGGGCAUGGUGGCACGUGCCUGUAGUCCCAGAUACUCGGGAGGCUGAGGCUGGAGGACUGCUUGAGCACAGGAGUUCUGGGCCAUAGUGCCCUAUGCCAAUCAGGUGUCCACACUAAGUUCAGCAUGAAUAUGGUGACCUCCUGGGAGCGGGGGACAACCAGGUUGCCUAAGGAGGGGUGAACCAGCCCAGGUUGGAAACGGAGCAGGUCAAAACUCCCGUGCUCAUCAGCAGUGGGAUCGUGGCUGUGAAUAACCACUGCACUCCAGCCUGGGCAACAUAGUGAGACCCGUU
ensembl:misc_RNA Metazoa_SRP Metazoan signal recognition particle RNA